rnacentral:rRNA from 1 species
AGAGUGAACGCUGGCGGCAGGCCUAACACAUGCAAGUCGAACGGCAGCACAGGGGAGCUUGCUCCCUGGGUGGCGAGUGGCGGACGGGUGAGGACAACGUCGGAAUCUGCCUUUUUGUGGGGGAUAACGUAGGGAAACUUACGCUAAUACCGCAUACCGACCCCAGGCCGGGAGGUUUGGGGUGAAAGCGGAGGACCUUCGGGCUUCGCGCAGAAAGAUGAGCCGACGUCGGAUUAGCUAGUUGGUGGGUAAAGCCCACCAAGGCGACGAUCCGUAGCUGGUCUGAGAGGAUGAUCAGCCACACUGGAACUGAGACACGGUCCAGACUCCGUA